CCCCCAGUAACGGCGAGUGAAGAGGGAACAGCCCAAAUUUGUAAUCCGGCUCUUUCAGAGUCCGAGUUGUAAUCUCGAGAACUGUUUUCCGUGCUGGACCGCGUACAAGUCUGUUGGAAUAUAGCUUCAUAGAGGGUGAGAAUCCCGUACAUGACGCGGACUACCAGUACAAUGUGAUACAGUCUCUAAGAGUCGAGUUGUUUGGGAAUGCAGCUCAAAAUGGGUGGUAAAUUCCAUCUAAGGCUAAAUAUUGGCGAGAGACCGAUAGCGAACAAGUACCGUGAGGGAAAGAUGAAAAGCACUUUGGAAAGAGAGUUAACAGUACGUGAAAUUGUUGAAAGGGAAACGCUUGAAGUCAGUCUUGUACUUUGUUGUUCAACUCCCGGGUGUAUUCAACAUUGAACAGGCCAGCAUCAGUUUCAGAUGUCGGAUAAGGGUAGAGGAAACGUAGCAGCCUCGGCUGUGUUAUAGUCCUUUGCUUGAUACGACGUCCGGGACUGAGGAACGCAGUGAGCCUUUUGGCGGGUCUUUGACCUUCUCACUAUGGAUGCUG
rnacentral:rRNA from 1 species